rnacentral:rRNA from 1 species
AUUGAACGCUGGCGGCAGGCUUAACACAUGCAAGUCGAGCGGGGGAAGGUAGCUUGCUACUGGACCUAGCGGCGGACGGGUGAGUAAUGCUUAGGAAUCUGCCCAUUAGUGGGGGAGAAAAUCUUGAAAGGGAUGCUAAUACCGCAUUGGUGCUACGGGAUAAAGCAGGGGAUCUUCGGACCUUGCGCUAAUAGGGGAGCAGCAGUCGGAUUAGCUAGUUGGUGGGGUCAAGGCCUACCAAGGCGACGAUCUGUAGCGGGUCUGAGAGGAUGAUCCGCCACACUGGGACUGAGACACGGCCCAGACUCCUACGGGAGGCAGCAGUGGGGAAUAUUGGACAAUGGGCGCAAGCCUGAUCCAGCCAUGCCGCGUGUGUGAAGAACGCCUUAUGGUUGUAAAGCACUUUAAGCGAGGAGGAGGCUACUUUAGAUAAUACCUAGAGAUAGUGGACGUUACUCGCAGAAUAAGCACCGGCUAACUCUGUGCCAGCCGCCGAGUAAGAC